rnacentral:rRNA from 1 species
GACGAACGCUGGCGGCGUGCUUAACACAUGCAAGUCGAACGGAAAGGCCCUGCUUUUGUGGGGUGCUCGAGUGGCGAACGGGUGAGUAACACGUGAGUAACCUGCCCUUGACUUUGGGAUAACUUCAGGAAACUGGGGCUAAUACCGGAUAGGAGCUCCUGCUGCAUGGUGGGGGUUGGAAAGUUUCGGCGGUGGGGGAUGGACUAGCGGCUUAUCAGCUUGUUGGUGGGGUAGUGGCUUACCAAGGCUUUGACGGGUAGCCGGCCUGAGAGGGUGACCGGCCACAAUGGGACUGCGAGACGGCCCAGACUCCUACGGGAGGCAGCAGUGGGGAAUAUGGCACAAUGGGCGGAAGCCUGAUGCAGCAACGCCGCGUGCGUGAUGACGGCCUUCGGGUUGUAAACCGCUUUCGCCUGUGACGAAGCGUGAGUGACGGUAAUGGGUAAAGAAGCACCGGCUAACUACGUG